AGAUGGAUAUUCGCUAAUAGACUAAAAUUUGUCAAAAUAUUUUCAAUUGUGAGAUUGUCUAAUUUAGAGGGAGUUUGAAAUUAUUAAAAAAAAAAACUCCUAUGUUUAAAAAGAUGUGAAAAGAGUUACAUCCAAAAGGAGUGUGAAAACUACCACCACAUGUAGGAAAGAGCUACCACCCCGGUCGUCCAGCAAGUGUGUGAAGCUACCACAUGAAGAUUGAGUUGAAUAACCGAAAAGGUUGAGAAAAAUUGAAUAUUUUAGAAUUUUCGGAGUUAUAAGGUGUUAGUUUGAAAAUGAUGCUCAAAGAGCCACCCCCGGUAUCAUAUUAGU
rnacentral:lncRNA from 1 species